rnacentral:rRNA from 1 species
GACGAACGCUGGCGGCGUGCUUAACACAUGCAAGUCGAACGGAAAGGCCCUGCUUUUGUGGGGUGCUCGAGUGGCGAACGGGUGCGUAACACGUGAGUAUCCUGCUCUUCACUUUGGGGUAACUUCACGAAACUGGAGCUAAUACCGGACAGCAUCUCCUGUUCCAUUGUGGGGGUUGGAAAGUCGCGGCGGUUGGGGAUGGACUGGCGGGUUACCAGCUUGCUGGUGGGGUAGUGGCUUACCAAGUCAUUGACGGGUAGCCGGCCUGAGAGGGUGACCGGGGACCAUGGGACUGCGAGAGGGCCCAGACUGCUACGGUAGGCAGCAGUGGGGAAUAUUGCACAGUGGGCGGACGCCUGAUGCAGCAACGCCGCGUUCGGGAUGACGGCCUUCGGGUUGUAAACCGCUUUCGCCUGUGACGAAGCGUGAGUGACGGUACUGGGUAAAGAAGCACCGGCUAACUACGUG